CACGGGGGGAGCAAGCGUUGUUCGGAAUCACUGGGCGUAAAGGGCGUGUAGGCGGUCAGGUUAGUGAGAUGUGAAACGCCCCGGCUCACCCGGGGACCUGCAUCUCAAACUGCCUGGCUUGAGUAUGGGAGAGGAUGAGGGAAUUCCUGGUGUAGCGGUGAAAUGCGUAGAUAUCAGGAGGAACACCGGUGGCGAAAGCGAUCAUCUGGCCCAAUACUGACGCUGAGGCGCGAAAGCUAGGGGAGCAAACGGG
rnacentral:rRNA from 1 species